rnacentral:rRNA from 1 species
UGGGGAAUAUUGGACAAUGGGCGAAAGCCUGAUCCAGCCAUGCCGCGUGUGUGAAGAAGGUCUUCGGAUUGUAAAGCACUUUAAGUUGGGAGGAAGGGCAGUAAGCGAAUACCUUGCUGUUUUGACGUUACCGACAGAAUAAGCACCGGCUAACUCUGUGCCAGCAGCCGCGGUAAUACAGAGGGUGCAAGCGUUAAUCGGAAUUACUGGGCGUAAAGCGCGCGUAGGUGGUUCGUUAAGUUGAAUGUGAAAGCCCCGGGCUCAACCUGGGAACUGCAUCCAGAACUGGCGAGCUAGAGUAGGGCAGAGGGUGGUGGAAUUUCCUGUGUAGCGGAGAAAUGCGUAGAUAUAGGAAGGAACACCAGUGGCGAAGGCGACCACCUGGGCUCAUACUGACACUGAGGUGCGAAAGCGUGGGGAGCAAACAGG